AGCAGCCGCGGUAAUUCCAGCUCCAAUAGCGUAUAUUAAAGUUGUUGCAGUUAAAAAGCUCGUAGUUGAAUUUCGGGAUCAGUAGGUUGGUCGUGCCACCGGUACGUACUGGUCUCACUGAUUCCUCCUUCCUGAAGAACCGUAAUGCCAUUAAUUUGGUGUUGCGGGGAAACAGGACUGUUACUUUGAAAAAAUUAGAGUGUUUAAAGCAGGCUAACGCUUGAAUACAUUAGCAUGGAAUAAUGAAAUAGGACGAUCGAUCCUAUUUUGUUGGUUUCUAGGAUUGACGUAAUGAUUAAUAGGGAUAGUUGGGGGCAUUAGUAUUCAAUUGUCAGAGGUGAAAUUCUUGGAUUUAUUGAAGACUAACUACUGCGAAAGCAUUUGCCAAGGAUGUUUUCAUUAAUCAAGAACGAAAGUUAGGGGAUCGAAGACGAUCAGAUACCGUCGUAGUCUUAACCAUAAACUAUGCCGACUAGGGAUCGGAUGAUGUUAAUUUUAUAAUGACUCAUUUCGGCGCCUU
rnacentral:rRNA from 1 species